rnacentral:rRNA from 1 species
UACGUAGGGGGCAAGCGUUGUCCGGAAUCAUUGGGCGUAAAGCGCGUGUAGGCGGCCCGGUAAGUCCGCUGUGAAAGUCCAGGGCUCAACCCUGGAAUGCCGGUGGAUACUGUCGGGCUCGAGUCCGGAAGAGGCGAGUGGAAUUCCUGGUGUAGCGGUGAAAUGCGCAGAUAUCAGGAGGAACACCGAUGGCGAAGGCAGCUCGCUGGGACGUGACUGACGCUGAGACGCGAAAGCGUGGGGAGCGAACAGG